rnacentral:rRNA from 1 species
UACGGAGGGGGCUAGCGUUGUUCGGAAUUACUGGGCGUAAGCGCGCGUAGGCGGAUCUGCAAGUCGGGUGUGAAAUCCCGAGGCUCAACCUCGGAACUGCCUUCGAUACUGCGGGUCUCGAGUCCGGGAGAGGUGAGUGGAAUUCCUAGUGUAGAGGUGAAAUUCGGAGAUAUUAGGAAGAACACCAGUGGCGAAGGCGGCUCACUGGCCCGGUACUGACGCUGAGGCGCGAAAGCGUGGGGAGCAAACAGG